UACGUAGGGGGCAAGCGUUGUCCGGAAUCAUUGGGCGUAAAGAGCGUGUAGGCGGCUCGGUAAGUCCGCUGUGAAAGUCCAGGGCUCAACCCUGGAAUGCCGGUGGAUACUGUCGGGCUAGAGUCCGGAAGGGGCGAGUGGAAUUCCUGGUGUAGCGGUGAAAUGCGCAGAUAUCAGGAGGAACACCGAUGGCGAAGGCAGGUCUCUGGGCCACUACUGACGCUGAGAAGCGAAAGCGUGGGGAGCGAACAGG
rnacentral:rRNA from 1 species